UACAGAGGUGGCAAGCGUUGUUCGGAAUUACUGGGCGUAAAGGGCGCGUAGGCGGUCUUGCAAGUCCUGUGUGAAAUCCCUCGGCUCAACUGAGGAACUGCACAGGAAACUGCUUGGCUUGAGUUCGGGAGAGGGAAGCGGAAUUCCGGGUGUAGCGGUGAAAUGCGUAGAUAUCCGGAGGAACACCGGUGGCGAAGGCGGGUCUCUGGGCCGAUACUGACGCUGAGGAGCGAAAGCGUGGGGAGCAAACAGG
rnacentral:rRNA from 1 species